UACGUAGGGUGCGAGCGUUAAUCGGAAUUACUGGGCGUAAAGUGUGCGCAGGUGGCUUCGCAAGUCGAGUGUGAAAGCCCCGGGCUUAACCUGGGAAUUGCGCUCGAAACUACGGAGCUCGAGUGUGGCAGAGGAAGGUGGAAUUCCACGUGUAGCGGUGAAAUGCGUAGAGAUGUGGAGGAACACCAAUGGCGAAGGCAGCCUUCUGGGCCAACACUGACGCUCAUGCACGAAAGCGUGGGGAGCAAACAGG
rnacentral:rRNA from 1 species